rnacentral:rRNA from 1 species
AUGUCUUCCUCUAGCGCCGCUCAAUCCAAUCUCAGCGGCCAAGUCACGGAGAAGCUCUCCCGGACGAACUAUGUCCUGUGGCGAACGCAAGUUACGCCGCAGCUGAGGGGAGCCGGGCUCUUCGGCUAUGUCGAUGGAACCAUGCCGGAACCCGCCCGCCUCCCUGUCACCAAGGACAAGGAAGGCAAGGAGACUACGGAUCCCAACCCUGUCCAUCCCAUCUGGGUGAGGGAGGAUCAACAAGUGCUCGGCUACCUCCUCAACAACCUCUCCAAAGAAGUGCUGAUCACGGUGACCGCGAUCACCACCGCGCACGCUCUCUGGGCGGCGCUCGCAGGCAUGUUUUCUUCUCAAUCUUUGAGUCGUGUUAACAACAUUCGCACUGCUUUGAACAAUGCAUAG